rnacentral:snoRNA from 1 species
AAUCCAUGGUGAGGGCAUUGCAUGGUAUACCCUCUAAAUCUUUCCCAAGCCUCACAAAAGAAGAAGACUAAACACGUUUUUUGUUGUU